rnacentral:rRNA from 1 species
ACGGCUCAGUAACACGUGGCUAACCUACCCUUGAGACGGAGACAACCCCGGGAAACUGGGGACAAUCCCAGAUAGAUGAGAACUCCUGGAAUGGGCUCUCGUCCAAAAGGCACCGCGAUCAUGCUUCUCGGUGUCGCUCAAGGAUGGGGCCGCGGCCGAUCAGGCUGUUGGUGAGGCAACGGCUCACCAAACCUAUAACCGGUACGGGCCGUGGGAGCGGGAGCCCGGAGAUGGGAACUGAGACAAGGUCCCAGGCCCUACGGGGCGCAGCAGUUGCGAAAACUCCGCAAUGCACGAAAGUGUGACGGGGCUACCCCGAGUGCUGUCCGCUGAGGAUGGCUUUUCCCCGGUGUAAGGAGCCGGGGGAAUAAGGAGAGGGCAAGUCUGGUGUCAGCCGCCGCGGUAAUACCAGCUCUCCGAGUGGUAGGGAUGUUUAUUGGGCUUAAAGCGUCCGUAGCUGGCUUUUCAAGUCUCUCGUUAAAUCCAGCGAUUCAAUCGUUGGACUGCGGGAGAUACUGUUGGGCUUGGGGGCGGGAGAAGCCGACGGUAUUUCCGGUGUAGGGGUAAAAUCCUAUAAUCCCGGGAGGACCACCAGUGGCGUAGGCGGUCGGCUAGCACGCGCCCGACGGUGAGGGACGAAAGCUGGGGGAGCAAACCGGAUUAGAUACCCGGAUAGUCCCAGCUGUAAACGAUGCGAGCUAGGUGUUGGAGCGGUCACGAGCCGCUUCAGUGCCGCAGGGAAGCCAUUAAGCUUGCCGCCUGGGGAGUACGGCCGCAAGGCUGAAACUUAAAGGAAUUGGCGGGGGAGCAC